AUUGAACGCUGGCGGCAGGCCUAACACAUGCAAGUCGAGCGGUAGCACAGAGAGCUUGCUCUCGGGUGACGAGCGGCGGACGGGUGAGUAAUGUCUGGGAAACUGCCUGAUGGAGGGGGAUAACUACUGGAAACGGUAGCUAAUACCGCAUAACUUCGCAAGACCAAAGGGGGGACCUUCGGGCCUCUUGCCAUCAGAUGUGCCCAGAUGGGAUUAGCUAGUAGGUGGGGUAACGGCUCACCUAGGCGACGAUCCCUAGCUGGUCUGAGAGGAUGACCAGCCACACUGGAACUGAGACACGGUCCAGACUCCUACGGGAGGCAGCAGUGGGGAAUAUUGCACAAUGGGCGCAAGCCUGAUGCAGCCAUGCCGCGUGUAUGAAGAAGGCCUUCGGGUUGUAAAGUACUUUCAGCGGGGAGGAAGGCGAUAAGGUUAAUAACCUUGUCGAUUGACGUUACCCGCAGAAGAAGCACCGGCUAACUCCGUGCCAGCAGCCGCAGUAA
rnacentral:rRNA from 1 species